rnacentral:rRNA from 1 species
UUACCGCGGCUGCUGGCACGGAGUUAGCCGGUGCUUCCUUCAGUGGUACCGUCAAUGAAAGACAGUAUUAAUGUCUACCAGUUUCUUCCCACUUGACAGAGUUUUACGACCCGAAAGCCUUCAUCACUCACGCGGNNUUGCUNCGUCAGGNUUUCCCCCAUUGCGNAAAAUUCCNCACUGCUGCCUCCCGUAGGAAGCCGAAUUCCAGCACACUGGCGGCCGUUACUAGUGGAUCCGAGCUCGGUACCAAGCUUGGCGUAAUCAUGGUCAUAGCUGUUUCCUGUGA